CCAUCUCAACUCUACAGGUUAACGCCUGG
rnacentral:sRNA from 1 species